UAGGGAAUAUUGGACAAUGGGUGAGAGCCUGAUCCAGCCAUGCCGCGUGCAGGAAGAAGGCGUUAUGCGUUGUAAACUACUUUUUGCCAGGGGAUAAAAAGACCGUGCGCGGUUAAUUGAAGGUACCUGGUGAAUAAGCCACGGCUAACUACGUGCCAGCAGCCGCGGUAAUACGUAGGUGGCAAGCGUUGUCCGGAUUUAUUGGGUUUAAAGGGUGCGUAGGUGGCCCUGUAAGUCAGUGGUGAAAUAUCUCAGCUUAACUGAGAGGGUGCCAUUGAUACUGCAGGGCUUGAGUACAGAUGAGGUAGGCGGAAUUGACGGUGUAGCGGUGAAAUGCAUAGAUAUCGUCAAGAACACCGAUAGCGAAGGCAGCUUACCAAGCUGUAACUGACACUGAGGCACGAAAGUGUGGGGAUCAAACAGGAUUAGAUACCCACGUAGUCCCUGAGCGGGCUGGCAAGGCGCAU
rnacentral:rRNA from 1 species